rnacentral:rRNA from 1 species
ACAUCAUAGCGGAGAAGAACCAACAGGGAUUGCCCUAGUAACGGCGAGUGAAGCGGCAACAGCUCAAAUUUGAAAUCUGGCGCAAGCCCGAGUUGUAAUUUGUAGAGGAUGCUUCUGGGUAGCGACCGAUCUAAGUUCCUUGGAACAGGACGUCAUAUAGGGUGAGAAUCCCGUAUGUGACCGGCCCGCACCCUUUACGUAGCUCCUUCGACGAGUCGAGUUGUUUGGGAAUGCAGCUCUUAUUCCUAGGUAAAUCACUUCUAAAGCUAAAUACCGGCCAGAGACCGAUAGCGCACAAGUAGAGUGAUCGAAAGAUGAAAAGUACUUUGGAAAGAGAUUAAAAAGCACGUGAUUUUUUGAAAGGGAAGCGGCUGCCCUAGACUUCGCGGCGUGUUCCGCCGGCUUCUGACCGGGUCAUUCUCUGUCGCGAGGGCAUCAUCGCCUGGCCCGCCGGAUAAGACCUUAGGAAUGUAGCUCACCUCCGGGGAGUGUUAUAGCCUAUGGGAUGCGGCGAGGCUCGGGCGAGGCCGCGCUUCUGCAAGAUAUAUAGCGAAUGGUUGUGGCGGCCGCUUG